rnacentral:rRNA from 1 species
UACGGAGGGAGCUAGCGUUGUUCGGAAUUACUGGGCGUAAAGCGCACGUAGGCGGCUUUGUAAGUUGGAGGUGAAAGCCUGGAGCUCAACUCCAGAACUGCCUUUAAAACUGCAUCGCUUGAAUCCAGGAGAGGUGAGUGGAAUUCCGAGUGUAGAGGUGAAAUUCGUAGAUAUUCGGAAGAACACCAGUGGCGAAGGCGGCUCACUGGACUGGUAUUGACGCUGAUGUGCGAAAGCGUGGGGAGCAAACAGG